rnacentral:lncRNA from 1 species
GAGAGGAAUGGGAGCUGUGGGAAGACAUGAAUUCAGCAUUUCAUGGAUUACACGGCAGAAGACAUGGGAGAGUAAGGCUGAGAGGCCGGUGCCACUCACUUGCCUGCCUUCCAUCUGACCAGGCUGCGCUCUCUGUCAGGGUCACUGUCCCCUGGCCUCACCAAAAAUAGAAUGAGCACUGCACGGGAAAGGAAGGAGGAGGUGCUGUGGCCAUAACCAUAGGGUAACGGAGGUGCAGGGCGGGUCAGGGAAUGGCUCAGAAGGACCCUCCCCAGCUGGCCCAAGGACUCCACGCUUCAGGCCCCUCUACAGCAUCCAUGCUGAGACAUCAGCCAGCCUAUGCUGGAAUGCCUCCUGGGUCAGAGAGUUCAGCACCUCACCUGGCCUGAAAUCACCGAAGGUUAGAGCUGGAAGGGGCCCUUGGGACUGUCAGGCCCUGCCCAUGCUCAUGCUUCCUGUCACCCUUCUUAUACUCUGAAAGUGACCUCCCUGUCACUCUUACCCUUAAGGAGAGUCUGCUCCUUGUACUUAUUAGCCAAACUGCCUCUUUCAAGUGUCACAUUCAAUAGCUAAACCGUGGGGCAAGGCAGUGUGGGAGCUCCUCCACUCUCCUCACUAUCAUUUGCAAAUUCCUUCACUAAGUAUGUGUUCUUAUUUAGUGUGAAUUCAUAUUCAGUGCCUACAACUGAGAAUUGCUGAGAAGUCAUCAAGAAGACCCACCUUGUCACUAUGCACAUCCUCAGUUCUGCCUACAGCUGAGAAUUCUUAUUCAUAUGUAUUCAUAUUCUGUACCUGCAACUGAGCUAAGUGCUUGCUGUACUAAGUACUUGGAAUACAUUGUUGAAGUAAAACAAAACAGAUUUAAAAAUUC